rnacentral:rRNA from 1 species
GACGAACGCUGGCGGCGUGCUUAACACAUGCAAGUCGAACGAAGUGGCGAACGGGUGAGUAACGCGUAAUCAACCUGCCCGUCAGAGGGGGACAACAGUUGGCAACGACUGCUAAUACCGCAUGGUGAAGGAGGGGGUUGCGGCUGCUGAGCUAGUUGGGGGGGUAACGGCCCACCAAGGCGAGGAUCAGUAGCCGGGCUGAGAGGAUGAACGGCCACAUUGGGACUGAGACACGGCCCAGAAUCCUACGGGAGGCAGCAGUGGGGAAUCUUCCGCAAUGGACGAAAGUCUGACGGAGCAACGCCGCGUGAGUGAUGACGGCCUUCGGGUUUUAAAGCUCUGUUAAUCGGGACGCGGUACCGGAAUAGAAAGCCACGGCUAACUACGUGCCAGCAGCCGCGGUAAUAC